rnacentral:rRNA from 1 species
GUAGGUGGCAAGCGUUGUCCGGAAUUAUUGGGCGUAAAGCGCGCGCAGGCGGUCCUUUAAGUCUGAUGUGAAAGCCCACGGCUCAACCGUGGAGGGUCAUUGGAAACUGGGGGACUUGAGUACAGAAGAGGAAAGCGGAAUUCCAAGUGUAGCGGUGAAAUGCGUAGAGAUUCGGAGGAACACCAGUGGCGAAGGCGGCUUUCUGGUCUGUAACUGACGCUGAGGCGCGAAAGCGUGGGGAGCAAACAGGAUUAGAUACCCUGGUAGUCCACGCCGUAAACGAUGAGUGCUAAGUGUUAGGGGGUUUCCCGCCCCCCUUAGUGCUGCAGCUAACGCAUUAAGCACUCCGCCUGGGGAGUACGGCCGCAAGGCUG